rnacentral:rRNA from 1 species
AUUUGUGACUCAAAGAAUACCCUGAAUGUGCCCAAUCUUGUUGGAUUUCGGAAGCCAAGCAGAUUUCUGCCCGGUUAGGACUUGGAUGGGACACUGGAUGGGAAUACCAGGUGUUAAUU